AUUGAACGCUGGCGGCAGGCCUAACACAUGCAAGUCGAACGAGUGGCGGACGGGUGAGUAAUGUCUGGGAAACUGCCUGAUGGAGGGGGAUAACUCCUGGAAACGGUAGCUAAUAACGCAUACCAUCAGAUGUGCCCAUCUGGUAUUAGCUAGUAGGUGGGGUAAUGGCUCACCUAGUCGACGAUCCCUAGCUGGUCUGAGAGGAUGACCAGCAAAACUGGAACGGAGACACGAGCCAGACUCCGAAGGGAGGAAGCAGUGGGGAAUGUUGCACAAGGGGGGCAAGCCUAAUGCAGCAAUACGGCGGGGGUGAAGAAGGCCUUCGGGUUGUAAAGCACGUUCAGCGAGGAGGCGUUACUCGAAGAAGAAGCACCGGCUAACUCCGUGCCAGCAGCCGCGGUAAUUC
rnacentral:rRNA from 1 species